GACGAACGCUGGCGGCGUGCCUAAUACAUGCAAGUCGAGCGAAGCGGCGGAUGGGUGAGUUACGCGUGAGUAACCUGCCCUUAAGCCUGGGAUACUCUUUGGAAACAGAUGCAAAUACCGGACAAUAAAGGAUGGACCUGCGAUGCAUUAGCUAGUUGGUAAGGUAACGGCUUACCAAGGCGAUGAUGCAUAGCCGGGUUGAGAGACUGAUCGGCCACAUUGGGACUGAGACACGGCCCAAACUCCUACGGGAGGCAGCAGUAGGGAAUCUUCCACAAUGGGCGAAAGUCUGAUGGAGCAAUGCCGCGUGAGUGAAGAAGGUUUUCGGAUCGUAAAGCUCUGUUGUUGGUGAAGCGGUAAUCAACCAGAAAGUCACGGCUAACUACGUGCCAGCAGCCGCGGUAAUAC
rnacentral:rRNA from 1 species